UGGGAGGCGCACACCUGCGCCUCAUGGGGGCUGAUUAUCCGGCGUAUUUAUAUGACCCCGAUGACGACUGGUCCGCGCCAGUCGAGCUUCAUGUCCCGUUCCAGCACUCUCGUAUCCCUGAUCGACAACCUGUGUGUACCGACCUUCGCCUGUUCUCCGACCAACGCUACGCCAGCGAGGUAUGAAUACGUCCCGAACACGACCCGUCCGGCUCCUCAUAUUCUUCUUGACUAACUUUUCGGAAUAUGAGGAGGACCUUGAUUUGAAUGACCGGCUGCCUGAGUACGACUCCGAUGAUUUUGAUUAUGAAUCUCUUUGCCCAGUCUUUCAUCCCAGUCAGUUUGUUUCACCUCCCCGCGUUUCCAGCACCCGAGCAUCUUCGGUAGGUUUAAGUACACCAAUCCGUAUGAGGGAACCCGCUUGGCCAUCUACCCGGGACGUCCGCAUGGCGGCCAGAGGAGAUGCUCCGGCCGAGCGCUCCCUGGUGCCUCCCGCUGCGCGGCAACUAAGACAUCGUCCUCCCACUCCUCGCCGGCAACGGCGAAACCGGCAGACCCGCAGCUGGUGGCGAAGCUUCCAGCCCAGAGGGAGCAGGACCCGCCAAAUCACGAGGCGUUCUGCCGUGAAAUGCGGGCGCAGAUAGAGCGGCAGAGCGCCGAAUUGGCGGCUCUCACGGCCCAGGUCCGGCAAGGAUUGGCGCACCAGCCGAGCUACGCUGACGUCGCGACGGACUCGCUGCUGACGCAAGUUCACGUGGCAGUUGGAACUGACCCGCUCCCGAGACACGCCCACGUGUCAGUUUCGACUGACUCUCUGCCUACUCUCGUUCACGUCGCCGUUGAAACAUACCCGCCCCCUCGCCAAGUGCACGUCGCAGUGGGAACGGACUCGCCACCUUGCCAAGUGCACGUCGCAGUGGGAACGGACUCGCCACCUUGCCAAGUGCACGUCGCAGUGGGAACGGACUCGCCACCUUGCCAAGUGCACGUCGCAGUGGGAACGGACUUGCCACCUCGCCAAGCGCACGUAGCUGUGGAAACUGACCCGCCUCCUCGCCAUUCCCAUGUCGAGGUUUUGGCUGUUCCGAGCAGAGCUCACGCGGCAGUUGGAACUGACCCGCUCCCGAGACACGCUCACGUGUCAGUUUCGACUGACUCUCUGCCGACUCUCGUUCACGUUGCCCUGGAAACGGAUUCGCCACCGCGCCACGCCCACGUUGCUGUUUCAACGAAUGCACUGCAAGUUCACGUGGCAGUGGGGACCGACCCGAUGCCGCCUCACGUUGCGGUCUAGGAGGUGGUGACGUCUCCAUAGCCGCUUCUCAUCCGUGCCCUGGAGUACCGUGGCUACCGGUCCGCGGUCGCUCCCCGUUCUUGCUCUGUCGGCGACCGGUCCGCGGUCGUCCCCUGUUCCUGCUCCGACGGCGACGGGCACAUCCAUAUGUUCCCGUCCAGGAGGUGGCGUUGGUGCCGCCGCCUUCUCACGUUCCUGUCCAGAAGGAGGUGGUGAUGGCGAUGGUGUCGCCGCCUUCUCACGUUCCUGUCCAGGAGCAGGUGGUGAUGGCGAUGGUGUCUCCGCCUUCUCACGUUCCUGUCCAGGAGGAGGUGGUGAUGGUGUCGCCGCCUUCUCACGUUCAUGUCCAGGAGGAGCUGGAGAGACUUCGGGGUGGCGGUCAUGGCUCUGGUCCUUCUCUCAUCACCCUCUUCGCUCCUGAGGCCUCGUUGGUGACCAAUCCACGGCUGCCUCCUGACCAAGCCUAGGUGGCGACCAGUCCCUGGUCGUCUCGCAACCACGGCAUGGGAGGUUCUCCAGACCCCCCUUCCGCCCACCCCUGCCUGUGUUAAUUAUUGUCGGUUUCUUUCGUUUAGGCACGUCUGGGAGCCGUGCCUUUGAGGGGGGGUACUGUCAUGAUCCUGCCGCUCCAGCCCGGGCUGUGCGGGUGCCAGCGUGGUUGCGCUGAUUGGGAGGCGCACACCUGCACCUCAUGUGGGCUGAUUAUCCGGCGUAUUUAUAUGACGGCUGGUCUGCGCCAGUUCGUUAAGCUUCAUGUCCCGUUCAAGUGCUCCGGUAUCCCUGAUCGACAACCUACUCCUGCCUGCUGUCUUCGCCCGACGUCCUGACUGCCUGCUCGAUCCCCGACCUCAGCAUAUAAUAAACGUUUCUCCCUGAACUACCUUGCAUCGUCCGAGUCCCGCAUUUGGGUCCUACUCCCGUUCCGAUGGGACGUGACACACAAUUAAGUUAUGGGAAAGAGUAGUGGAGGCUAGACUCAGGACAGAAGUCAGUAUCUGCGAGCAACAGUAUGGUUUCAUGCCAAGAAAGAGUACCACGGAUGCAUUAUUUUCUUUGAGGAUGCUAGUGGAAAAGUACAGAGAAGGUCAGAAGGCGCUACAUUGUCUUUGUGGAUCUAGAGAAAGCCUAUGACAGAGUACCAAGAAAGGAACUGUGGUACAGCAUGUGCAAGUCUGGUG